GUUUGUAUCAUUUAAAACAUAUCAGACUAAAUCAUCAUUCAAGUUGAUGAUAUUGAGUAAUCUAACUAGACAUUACAGAAUAGUUGAUUGAUAUGAUAUAGUUUGUGUUAAAUUCUUGAAUCAUCAACAUAGACAUUUUUGUCUUGUAAAAGAAAGAGAAUAUGGUUGAUCAAACCAUGUAUGUCAUUCCAACUUGCAUUAUGUUCAUGUGAGGUACUCUCAUUGUUGCAUUUCCUCCUCUACAAUUCCUCCUAAGGAAUGCAUACAUGUAAUUUAUAGUUAGUUUCUUGAUGAACCAUGAGUUUUUCUUCGCCCUGACGUCUCCAUGUCCAAGCAAGUAUGUAAAUCCUGAUUUACUAGCUUCGCGAAGUGCUGAAAGCUCGUAUUCCAAACUAGGAUCUUCAUCUCCCGCUGCUGUGGUUGCUGGUGGUUCUGAGAUACAUGUUUCAAUCUCUAAUCUUUGAUCGCGCAUUAAUGGUACUUUAAGCUCAUCAGAGUUGUCCAUGGGACUCACAACAUUGUUGUCAAACUCAGGUUGAGAUUGUUUAUUGGUUUCUAAAGCAAGAUCAAGUGCUUCAUUCCUUAAAAACUUCUCAAGACUAUCAACCAAAAGCUGUUCAAAUAAGUGAUGAUCUUCUUUCCUCACAUCUUUAUAGCCAUAUCGAGCUACACAACGAAACAUAUGAUACUCCUUAGGACAGAGUCUUCGGAACAAGAAUCGUUCUUCUUGAGGAACAACAGGUACUGGGAUAUGCUUGAUGCAGACAAAGACUAUAACAGAGUGAAUAGCUGGAAGGUCCAAUAGAAACUGCGUAAAAAUCGAUAGGCUUACUCUAUAAUGAACUAGUUCAAGGCAUUCCAUCGAUUUUUACGCA
rnacentral:misc_RNA from 1 species